UUCCCCCAGUGGCCCGGGCCUGGCCUCCGCCGCCGGUUCCUCCUCCUAGGCGUCCGCCUACUUCUUUGCUGCGCCCAUGGUUCUUCCCGGAGCCCAGGCCUGGGCCAGGGCCGGGGAGGUAGAGCGGGCGAAUGCGGCGUGGUGAGCUGGCGGCGCGGGUAUAAUGUGGACCUCGCGUUGCCGCUGCUAUUGCCACCGCUUGUUGUCAGCCGCGUUGCUGCUGGCGCUAAGCGGGCAGCUGUCUUUGCUGCUGCUGCUGCUGCUCCUGCUGGACGGAGCGGCCGCCCACGCCUCUCACACCUCUUUGCCCGGAGCCCCAUUGAAGCUUUCCCAGCCCCCGCCGCUGCCUAGGGCCUCGGGCACUGUUUUUCCUGCCAGGCCCGGCCUCCCGAGUGGUAGCAGAACCGUGUCCCCUUCCGGGCAGGCCGGACUCAGCGGUAAUGGCAGCGGCCCAGGAGCUGGGCCUGCCGAGAUCGGAGGAGGCGGGCUGGCAGUGUCCCCGAAUUCUGGCGACAAACCCAUGACCCAGAGGGCCCUCUUGGUGCUGAUGGUGGUGAGCGCCGCGGUCCUUGUGUACUUUGUGAUUAGAACCAUCAGAAUGAGAAGAAGAAAUAGAAAGACACGAAGAUAUGGAGUUUUGGACACAAAUCUAGAAAAUAUGGAAUUAACACCUUUAGAACAAGAUGAUGAUGAUGAUGAUACAACACUUUUUGAUGCCAAUCAUCCCCGAAGGUUUUCGUGAUAUUACUGUAUCCUGGUCCUCCUUCUACCUGUCUGACCGUUCCUUCCCAAUCUCCUUUGUUGAAUCUUCUUCCAGCCCAGGAAAGAUAAGAAUGUGCCUUUUAAUGAGAAAACAUCAUUGGUGAACAUCAUAGGAAAAAGCUUAUGAUUAAGGAAGAAGAAGCCAAUAUCAGUCACAGCAUGGGGGGUAUUUAAGUUAUGUAUAUUAUGACUUUUAAUUUGUUGUUGAAAAAAAAUACUGUAUCAGUUUGUUGCAUCUUUGUAUAUAUAGGAAUGUUCUAUUAUAAAUGAGUUCAAAUUUGAAAAAAAGAAAUGCAUUAUAAUAUAAAGCUACUUGAAAAUUACCAUUAAAAUAGUGUUUUCAUUUUUCUUUUCUUUACUGUUUACCAUGUGGUAAACAGUUUCUGUUUAUAUGCUAAUCAGCUAAUGUUAAUUGUUUUGCUGGUAUAAUGUUUUAAGUAAUUAUACUUGUAAGUAUCCAUUGAAGUGCAAAUUCUUUAAUAUAAUUUGAUUUUUUUUUCCCCAACAAAAUGUAUUUCCCAUUUUUGGGGGGAAAUGCCAGAUGUACUGCUUUGUUUUUGACUAUUUUUUAAACUAUAUGACUAUAUGAGCUAUUGUAUGCAAAGCAAUAAAUGUGAUAUUAAAUUGUUUUAAGUGUACUAAAAGAAAUGUGGAAGGCAGUAUCAUUUGAAGAUAAAAAUUUAUUUCCAAAAUAACUCUAAAAUUUCUGUGCUGUUAUUUCAAUAAUACAUAUUUCUCCUCAUUUUUAGAAAAGUUUUGUGACAUAUUACAUAUUAUUAAUACUGCCAUCAUAUAUAAUUCUGUAAUUUCAAAAAUUGAAUAUAUAUACAAGAUAUUAAUUUCAAGAACUUUAAAAAAUUUUGAGACUUAAGAUGUUUUCAGAAAUCAUUGAUUUCAAAGAUUUUUCACUAUAUAUUUUCUUUACAUAAUGUGAGCAGAUGCAAUUUAAUAUAUUAGAAUGAAAACUUGAAAUAAUUGCAAAAAUGGUAAGGGUAGGGGCUGUAGUGAUCAUUGACAUUUAUAUAUUUCUUUAAAAUAUGCAAAGCAUUUUUCAUAGAUUAUCUCAUUUCACUCUGAUAACAAUACUGUAAAGUAUAUUAUGUUACAUAAUUUCUUUUAUAUGUAGUCAUGUAUAUGUUCUGUUAUGGCUAUUAUUUAUAGUAACUAUUUUCAUUUUACUGAUGAGGAAACUGAGGCAUUGCCACAUUCAUAGUAGUAAACAUUGGCAUUUGAAUUCAAAUAUUUCUGCCUUUGAGACUACGGUAUUAUCUGUUGCAUUGUGGUACCUGUCAGGGAUACUAAAAUAAUGACAGUGAAGAAUUAAGAGUUAGGGGAAAGAAGUUCUGCUCCCAAGAUGAGAGAGUGAGGAAAAAAAAUCCUCAGAAAUCUUCCCAAAUUCCCUUCCAAACCACCAGAAAAUAUCAGAAUUGAAACAGGCAUAGGAGAACAAUCUAUCAGCCUGGCAGGAAAGCUCCCAGCCUGUGGCAAUAUGCCAAAGGAGCUCUUCUCCUUCAAAUGAGCAGUCUUGUGUAUCACAGCAAGGUCCUGCCCUAAUGACCCCAACCCCAGUACAAGCCAUCAGUAAGGCCUUGACCCAAUUUCUGACCAGUACUGUUGAAGACCCUCCUUGGGGCUGACCAGAGAGUGGGACCCUGUUCCUGGGACCUACCCUUGAAAGACCCUAUUUCCAAUCAACAGUGGCCCUGACUUUGGGGCAGACCAGCAAAAAGAUCUGUCCUCCCGGACCAGCUACCAGAAAAACUCUGUUACCAUAGCAACUCAGCAGCAUUGCCCUACCCCUGGAGCAUGACAGCUGCUAACCCUCACAUCCAGGGGAGGCCCCUUUUAAUACGAGUCAGAGGGGAAGCCUAUCUUCCAUAGGAAACAAGCAGGUAAGACCUGAAGCCAAAGGAAAGCCAGCAGUAAGACCCAGCGCCCCAGCAGAAAAAGCUCAAGACAGGAGCCCAACUCACAUAAAAACACCACAUCACAAAAAAGGCAGAAAAAUGAGCAAAAAACAUACCAACAAAAAAAAAACAAAACAA